rnacentral:rRNA from 1 species
CGCGGGGGUAACCCUGGCGACGAGAGGCGGACGGGUGAGCAGUGCUUGGGAAUCUGCCCAUCAGCGGGGGACAACCCGGGGAAACUCGGGCUAAUACCGCAUACGCUCUACGGAGGAAAGCCGGGGACCGCAAGGCCUGGCACUGACGGACGAGCCCAAGCCGGAUUAGCUAGUUGGCGGGGUAACGGCCCACCAAGGCGACGAUCCGUAGCUGGUCUGAGAGGACGAUCAGCCACACCGGAACUGAGACACGGUCCGGACUCCUACGGGAGGCAGCAGUGGGGAAUAUUGGACAAUGGGGGAAACCCUGAUCCAGCGACGCCGCGUGGGUGAAGAAGGCCUGCGGG